GCCUGGGAUAAGAAAAUCUUUAGUUUUUCGAAAAAUUCAAAGUUUUGUUAACAGGAAAUUUAUAAAAAUGACCACAUUAUUGAUAUUCAUGUCAACACCGAAGUGUUGACUACUGGCCUGGUGAUACCCUCGGGAACGAAACGUCCACCAGCAGUGGCAUCGACCCAGUGGUGUAAAUAGUUAUCAAAGGUACCAGGAUUAUAAUUU
rnacentral:lncRNA from 1 species